AUUGAACGCUGGCGGCAUGCCUUACACAUGCAAGUCGAACGGCAGCACGGGGCAACCUGGUGGCGAGCGGCGAACGGGUGAGUAAUGCAUCGGAACGUACCUUUCAGUGGGGGAUAACGUAGCGAAAGUUACGCUAAUACCGCAUAUUCUGUGAGCAGGAAAGCAGGGGAUCGCAAGACCUUGCGCUGAUUGAGCGGCCGAUGUCAGAUUAGCUAGUUGGUGAGGUAAAGGCUCACCAAGGCGACGAUCUGUAGCGGGUCUGAGAGGAUGAUCCGCCACACUGGAACUGCGACACGGACCAGACUCCUACGGGAGGCAGCAGUGGGGAAUUUUGGACAAUGGGGGCAACCCUGAUCCAGCCAUGCCGCGUGAGUGAAGAAGGCCUUCGGGUUGUAAAGCUCUUUCGGCCGGGAAGAAAUCGCACGGGCUAAUACCCUGUGUGGAUGACGGUACCGGAAUAAGAAGCACCGGCUAACUACGUGCCAGCCGCCGCCGUAAGAC
rnacentral:rRNA from 1 species